UUUCUGGCUCCCCCGCGCGGGAUCUGUAUCUGUGACUGACACAGCCCUGGCGGACGCGCUAUAGGGCAUUCAGUUGGGUCCAGUAGGAGACGUCCACUGGCACCCGUCUGGGGCACCUUUUUGGGCCCAUCGGAAUUUUUCUGUUCGGGUGGCAGACACCCGAAACGCGCUAGCGAUCUAAGUGUUGUGUUCUCUAUUCUAUAACCUUUAAGUGUUAAACUCCUUCUCUUUCACAGGUGACCUGGCCUGGCCCAGCCAGAAAUCCUCAUAACUUUACUGUUUCUCCUUUUAAUCCUUUCCUCCACCUCCAGGAUACAGAUGGGCCAAUCUCAAAGCACUCCUCUUUCUCUCCUCGUUGCCAACUUCAGGGAUGUUAGAACCAGAGGACAGAAUUUGAGUUUAGACAUCCGGCGGGGAAAAUUAAUAACCCUCUGCCGCUCCGAAUGGCCAACCUUGGGCGUUGGAUGGCCAACCGAAGGAACUUUCUGCCUCCCUAUAAUUGCUAAGCCCACCUGGGACGACUGUCAGCAGCUCCUCCGCAUCCUGUUCACCACAGAGGAGCGAG